UUUUCAGCACAAAAGAGAAGAAAAAGGACAAGGACAUCAUUUGUCAGAGAAGGGAUAAAAUGCAGAAGGGAAGGCUCAAGGGAAGCAGAUGCAAGUCCCAAGCCCACUCUACUCUAGCAUUCUUCUAUAACUCACCACAUGACACCUGGGGAGAUUACAUCAUCAUCUAGCAAGACUCAACCAAGCUUGGGACUCGGGACAG